rnacentral:rRNA from 1 species
CCUACGGGAGGCAGCAGUGAGGAAUCUUGGUCAAUGGACGGGAGCCUGAACGAGCCAAGUAGCGUGAAGGAUGACUGCCCUACGGGUUGUAAACUUCUUUUUUAAAGGAGUAAGAUUAGGCACGUGUGCCUUUUUGUAUGUACUUUAUGAAUAAGGAUCGGCUAACUCCGUGCCCGCAGACGCGGUAAUAGGGAGGCUCAGGGCGUGAUCCGGAUUUGUUGGGUUUAAAGGGAACGUAGAUGGGUUGUUAAGUCAGUUGUGAAAGUUUGCGGCUCAACCGUAAAAUUGCAAUUGAUACUGGCAGCCUUGAGUACAGUUGAGGUAGGCGGAAUUCGUGGUGUAGCGGUGAAAUGCUUAGAUAUCACGAAGAACUCCGAUUGCGAAGGCAGCUUACUAAACUGCCACUGACAUUGAUGCUCGAAAGUGUGGGUAGCAAACAGGAUUAGAUACCCUAGUAGUC